rnacentral:rRNA from 1 species
ACGUGAAAUCCUGUCUGAACAUGGGGGGACCACCCUCCAAGCCUAAGUACUCCUCUACGACCGAUAGUGAACAAGUACCGUGAGGGAAAGGUGAAAAGCACCCCAACGAGGGGAGUGAAACAGAUCCUGAAAUCGGAAGCCUACAAGCAGUCGGAGCCCCCAUGCGGGGUGACGGCGUACCUUUUGUAUAAUGGGUCAGCGACUUCAUGUGUCGAGCAAGCUUAAGCCGUUAGGUGUAGGCGCAGCGAAAGCGAGUCUGAAUAGGGCGCUAAGUUCGACGUAUGACGACCCGAAACUAGGUGAUCUAUCCAUGAGCAGGAUGAAGGUUGGGUAACACCAACUGGAGGUCCGAACCCGUGAAUGUUGAAAAAUUCUGGGAUGACUUGUGGAUAGGGGUGAAAGGCCAAUCAAACCUAGACAUAGCUGGUUCUCCGCGAAAUCUAUUUAGGUAGAGCGUCCGACGAAUUCCCUGGGGGGUAGAGCACUGGAUGGUUGCGGGCUGCGCGAGCGGUACCAAUACUAACCAAACUCCGAAUACCCAGGAGAACUAUCGGGCAGACACACGGCGGGUGCUAACGUCCGUCGUGAAAAGGGAAACAACCCUAACCAUCAUCUAAGGCCCCCAAGUCAUGGCUAAGUGGGAAACGAUGUGGGAUUGCUUUGACAAUCAGGAGGUUGGCUUAGAAGCAGCCAUCCUUUAAAGAAAGCGUAACAGCUCACUGAUCAAGCGAUCCUGCGCGGAAAAUGUAACGGGGCUCAAGCCAUGCGCCGAAGAUAUGGGUUUGCAGUUUACUGCAAGCGGUAGCGGAGCGUUCCGUAAGCCGGUGAAGGUCAGGCGUGAGCCUGGCUGGAGGUAUCGGAAGUGAGAAUGCUGACAUGAGUAACGAUAAACAGUGUGAGAAACACUGUCGCCGAAAGACCAAGGGUUCCUGCGUAAAGCUAAUCUGCGCAGGGUUAGUCGGCCCCUAAGGCGAGGCUGAAAAGCGUAGUCGAUGGGAAGCAGGUAAAUAUUCCUGCACCAGCUAGAAGUGACGGAUGGCGUAAGUUGUCGGGGCUUAUUGGAUUGUCCCGGCAGCGAAGUUGUCCCUGGAAAUAACUCUAGCAGAGACCGUACCCGAAACCGACACAGGUGGUCAGGUAGAGCAUACCAAGGCGCUUGAGAGAACUGUGCUGAAGGAACUCGGCAAAUUGCACGCGUAACUUCGGAAUAAGCGUGACUCACCCAGCGCAAGCUGGACUGAGUGGCACAAGCCAGGGGGUAGCGACUGUUUAGCAAAAACACAGGGCUCUGCGAAGCAGCAAUGCGACGUAUAGGGUCUGACGCCUGCCCGGUGCCUGAAGGUUAAAGGGAGUUGUGAAAGCGACGAACUGAAGCCCAGGUAAACGGCGGCCGUAACUAUAACGGUCCUAAGGUAGCGAAAUUCCUUGUCGG